rnacentral:rRNA from 1 species
AGAGUUUGAUCCUGGCUCAGGACGAACGCUGGCGGCGCGCCUAACGCAUGCUAGUCGAACGGAAGUGUUCAAUCGGAAGUUUUCGGAUGGAAGAGUGGACAGUUUAAUGGCGAACGGGUGAGUAACGCGUGAGUAACCUGCCCUUCAGAGGGGGACAACAGUUGGAAACUACUGCAUAAUACCGGCAUAACCCCCACGUGUGCCGCAUGGUACAGUGAGAAAAGGAGAAAUCCGCUGAAAGAUGGACUCACGUCUGAUUAGAUAGUUGGUGGGGUAACGGCCUACCAAGUCGACAAUCAGUAGCCGGACUGAGAGGUUGAACGGCCACAUUGGGACUGAGAGACGGCCCAGACUCCUACGGGAGGCAGCAGUGGGGAAUAUUGCACAAUGGGGGGAACCCUGAUGCAUCGACGCCGCGUGAAGGAAGAAGGUAUUUGUAUUGUAAACUUCUGUGUGCAGAUGACUGAAGAAUGACGGUAAUCUGCAAGAAAGCACCGGCUAACUACGUGCCAGCAGCCGCGGUAAAACGUAGGGUGCUAGCGUUGUCCGGAAUUACUGGGUGUAAAGGGAGCGCAGGAGGCAGUGCAAGUAGGAUGUAAAAUCUACGGGCUCAACCCGUAUAAGCAUUCAAAACUGUGCAGCUUGAGUGAAGUAGAGGUAGGUGGAAUUUAUUGUGUAGCGGUGGAAUGAGUAGAUAUAGGGAGGAACACCAUUGGAGAAGGAGACCUACUGGGCACCAACUGACGGUGAGGCUAGAAAGCAUGGGUAGCAAACAGGAUUAGAUACCCUGGUAGUUCAUGCCGUAAACGAUGAUUACUAGGUGUUGGAGGAUUGACCCCUUCAGUGCCGCAGUUAACGCAAUAAGUAAUCCACCUGGGGAGUACGACCGCAAGGUUGAAACUCAAAGGAAUUGACGGGGGCCCGCACAAGCAGUGGAGUAUGUGGUUUAAUUCGAAGCAACGAGAAGACCCUUAUCAGGUCUUUACAUCCGAUGCAUAGUGCAGAGAUGCAUGAAGUCCUUCGGGACAUCGAGACAGGUGGUGCAUGGUUGUGGUCAGCUCGUGUCGUGAGAUGUUGGGUUAAGUCCCGCACCGAGCGCUAACCCUUAUUGCCAGUUAGUACGCAAGAGGACUCUGGCGAGACUGCCGUUGACAUAACGGAGGAAGGUGGGGAUGAUCGUCAAAUCAUCAUUCCCUUUAUGACCUGGGCUACACACGUACUUCAAUGGCGUUUAACAAAGAGAAGCAAGUCCGCGAGGCGGAGCAAAACUCAGAAACAAUGUCUCAGUUCAGAUUGCAGGCUGCAACUCACCUGCAUGAAGUCGGAAUUGUUAGUAAUCGCGGAUCAGCAUGCCGCGGUGAAUACGUUCCCGGCCCUUGCACA